rnacentral:rRNA from 1 species
GACGAACGCUGGCGGCGUGCUUAACACAUGCAAGUCGAACGGAACGGCCCUGCUUUUGGGGGGUGCUCGAGUGGCGAACGGGGGAGCAACACGUGAGUUACGUGCCCCUGACCUUGGGGUAACUUCAGGCAACUUGGUCUAAUACGGGCAAGGAGCUCCCGCCGCUGGGUGGGGGUUGGAAAGUUUCGGCGGUUGGGGGUGGACUCGCGGCUUAUCGGCUUGUUGGAGGGGUAGUGGCUUACCAUGACUUUGCAGGGUAGCCGGCCUGGGAGGGUGACCGGCCACGUUGGGCUUGGACUACGGCCCAGACUCGUCCGGGAGGCGGCGGUGGAGAAUGUUGCACUGUGGGCGGAAGCCUGAUGCGGCAACGCCGCGCGCGGGGUGACGGCCUUCGGGUUGUAUACCACUUUCGCCUGUGCCGGAGCGUGAGUGACGGUAAUGGGUGAAGAAGCACCGGCUAACUACGUG